GACGAACGCUGGCGGCGUGCCUAAUACAUGCAAGUAGAACGCACAGUUUAUACCGUAGCUUGCUACACCAUAGACUGUGAGUUGCGAACGGGUGAGUAACUCGUAGGUAACCUGCCUGGUAGCGGGGGAUAACUAUUGGAAACGAUAGCUAAUACCGCAUAAUAUUAAUUAUUGCAUGAUAAUUAAUUGAAAGGUGCAAUUGCACCACUACCAGAUGGACCUGCGUUGUAUUAGCUAGAGGGGAGGUUACGGCCCACCUAGGCGACAAUACGUAGCCGACCUGAGAGGGUGAUCGGCCACACUGGGACUUAGACACGGCCCAGACUCCUACGGGAGGCAGCAGUAGGGAAUCUUCGGGAAUGGACGAAAGUCUGACCGAGCAACGCCGCGUGAGUGAAGAAGGUUUUCGGAUCGUAAAGCUCUGUUGUAAGAGAAGAACGGGUGUGAGAGUGGAAAGUUCACACUGUGACGGUAUCUUACCAGAAAGGGACGGCUAACUACGUG
rnacentral:rRNA from 1 species